CCCCCUAGGGACCAAUUCUGCAAAACAUUAACACACUAAGGGUCUAAAGUGAAAUGUACUUGAAUCGAGUGUUACAUGGUCACCCGAUUACUAAGGAUGAUGUGGACAUUAACUUAUGUCUAACUCUUUUUAAAUGACAUAUAAGCAAUCUACAUUCACAUGGAUUUUUUAGCCUCCACCACCAUCUCUAAAAGACCCCAACUUUCGUAUUUAUGAAAGACCCAAACUUUCAUACUAUUCCAACAUUAUUCUUUAAGUUACUUCCUCAAAACAUGCUACAUGCAUAUUUAUAAAACAAUAUUUUAUAUUGAUAAAGUGAUUACAAAGGAUUGGAUACAAACCGACUAAGUUUUAUUACAUUUCAUAUCUACCCAGGAAUCUACUAUUCAUAUACAUACAUGAACAUUAAAAUACACAGAAAUAGUAUUAACUAUUCUAAAUCUUUCAGCAGUAUAAAACUAUAUUGGAUACUCAUCACCUGCAAUUGUUAAAUAUUGAGAGGGAUCGAUAAGCGAUAACGCUUAGUGAAUUCAAUAAAUAGAUACAAUAUAACCUUAUGCCUUAUAUAUAUCAAUAUGACAGAAGCAAAAGGGAACAAGAACAACAAUAGCAUAUGCGUAUCAUAUGUCACGCUUUCAAUAUCAACUCAAGAUUUGAUUCAAAGAUUUACGAUCAAUGAGACAUAACAAUUUCCAUGCUUGAUAUGCAUCAAUAAAGCUUUUGGCCCAAACGGCACAGAAGAUAUACAACUUCGGAUUAACAUUUUGGUAUAUUUCAGGCUUAAAGCCCUGUCUAACCAUUUGCCAAUACCAUAGAAUAGAGUUCAUUCUCUUACGGAGUCAUGCUCUACAUGGUCAGAGGUUACAUACCAUUCUUAUCUAACCUUCUGCCAAUGUCAUAGAAUAGAAGUCAUUCUCUUACUAGAAAUGUUCUACAUGGCCAGAGGCUACAUACCAGUACCACCGUGAAUCUAAGUCCUUUCACUGAUCACAUGGUCAAAGGUAUAACUUUGCUAUUAAAAAUAGCGAAUAAAAAUAACACGGGAAAAUAACUCAGAAUAAUAACACUGAAAAGCACAUAGCACAUAUAACACAUAACAUACAAUUGUUCCUAUAUAUUGAACUCACCUUAAAAUAAUCGGGGGUUAAAAUAGUAAUUUGAGCAGCAUAUCGGCUCCAAAUAUGGCUUUAUUUGUUGAAAACCGGGAGAAUUAGCUAAAAACCGGACUCUAAAAAGGUAGAGCUUCAAAACCGAAAAGAUAAAUUUUUCGGGCUUCACGGCACUUCGGGGCGUGUUUCGGGUGUUAAAAUUGACACCGGGGCUUCGGGGGAUGUCAAAAUAGUCAAAAUAUGGAAAAAGGGGCCAAAAAUGGCAAUUUUCUAAAAUUCCUCGGCAAGGCUCGCAGGCCUUGUAUUUAUAGGGAGGAGAUGCGAGGGUUCGGCCGAGAAGGGGUGAGUCAGCGAGGGCAGGUGGCAGCAGGGGGCGAAGGCACGCGGCUCGCAUGCGAGGGCUCCAGGUGGCUCGGUUCGGACUCGACAGGCGUCUUCGGAUGCGAGGAGUCACCGGGUGACUAAGCUGCUUCGGACGACUCAUCGCGACACGCGUCGGAUCUGGGCAAGGGUGAGUCACGACAUCGAAAACGAGGCGGACACGGCAUCGGACCAAUCAGAGGGUGCCACGCGAGGCUGCGGUCCAAUCAGAAGAUGCCACGUGGAUUAUCACUAUUCAUGCGAAAAUUAAAUAAAAAAUGUGCCAAAUCUUGUAAAAUCCAUAACUUUUGCAUACGGGCUCCGUUUUUGACGUUCUUUAUAUGCACGCGUAGCUAAAAUUAUGCUCUACAACUUUCGUUUAGACUUCGUCGGCUAAUUUUGACUUUAAUUUUUAUAUUAUUAUUUUUAACAGACCGGGACAGGAAAAUCCGUUAAAAAUUCAUAACUUCUUCAUCCGACAUCCGUUUUCGUCAGACUUUUUACCGUUGUACUACAAAUGACGAGACCUUCAAUUCUCGUUUAGGUUGUGUCGGCUAAAAAUCACUCGAUCUAAAAUUCGAGUUUUUAGCUGUCUACUAUUAAGCUGAAACUUCGAAAAAUCAUAACUUCCUCAUACGAAGUCAGAUUUUGGCGUUCUUUUUAUCGAACUUCUAGGUUUAAAGAAUACUACAACUUUCAUUUAGAUUACUAAGACUAAAAAGUAGUUUAUCAAAAACUCAUUUUUUACGUCAUUCGACGUCGUGCCGGUUUUAUCGCGGAUCUUCGAUUGGUCAUAACUUCUUCGUUAUAACUCAGAUUUCGACGAGGUUUUCGCUUAAAUGUUUCUAACGAGAUUAUCUAAAACUUUCAAUAAUAAAAUUUUACUUAUUUAAAAUUUUAUAUUUUCGCUAAAUUUUCAUUAUUUGGCUAUUAAUUGAAAUCUCAUAAGACUUCCAAUAUUUUAUGAGUGAUUCUAAACAUAGUUUUACUUCAUUUCUAGUAAAAACUAUAUGUUAGAACUCAACACUCAAUUUUAUUUACUUCUAAUAAUAACAAUACACAAUUUCAAAAUGUGUAUGUUACAAAUACAUCCUCCUUUUGAGGAUUUCGUCCCCGAAAUCAUAACGAUUAAAACAAUUAGGGAUACUUCACUCUUAUUUCAUUCUUACUUUUCCCAAGUAUAAUUUGAGCCUCGACGGUGUUUCUGCAUGAAAAUCACCAACUCUACAUCUUUAUUAUGUAGAUUAGUCGUUCUUUCAUUUACGAUCUCUUCUACUUAACUUAUCAUCCAGUUUCACCUCUGAUAAUAGAACCAUUUCAUCAUAUAUGCUUAAAAUUUUACACAGAUAGCUCACAUGAAACACUUCCUGAAUAUCUAUCAAAUCUUCAGACAAUUUUAAGCAGUAUGCUUGCUUACCAACCGUUCUUUCUUCCAAAGUAGUAUAACGCCUUCUCAUGAAAUACCUUCAGUAUUACUAAAUCAUCCACCCGGAAUUCUACGGGUCGUCUCCUCUUUUCUGCAUAGGACAUUUGUCGAUCCUGGGCCACUUUCAUUCUUUCUCAGAAAAUUUGUAUCUUGUCAGUGAUGUCUUGAACCAUUUCAGAUCCUCCAAAGAUCUUAUGUCCUAUGUCACGCCAACAUAUUUGAGUAUGACAUUUACGCUCAUACAGUACUUUAUAUACCUUCAGUAUAUUUUCUAUUAUUUUGAUUGCUCUCUUCUUUUGAUCAUUUGUCUGAGGAUGAUAAGUUGUACUAAGAGCAACUCGAGAUCCUAACUCAUGCUUCAUUCUCACCCAAAAAUGAGAAGUGAAACGAGUAUCACAAUCGAAAAUAAUCUUUAGUGGUGCACCAUGUCUCACCACAAUUUCGUCUAAGUAAACUUGUGCUUAUUUCUCCAUUAGAACUGUUGUACGUAUGGCGAGAAAAUAUGCACUCGUACUCAGCUUGUCGACAAUUAUCCAAAGGUUAUCAUUCACAGUUUUCUUCUCCUCUUUCAAGGUAUUAACUGUAUAAGCCGGAUAAGUAGAAUAUCCCUUCGACAUAAUUUACGAGUUUUUAAGAAAGAAAUUUAUUAUUUUCACCGUAGACAUAAAUAGAAUCUUCCCUUUCGAUAGGGAUGCAUAUCAUCUCUUUGUAACACAAGAGCUCUGCGUGGUUCUUUAACAACCAAUCCAUGUCGAGAAUAAUAUCAAAGAUAGGAAUUAGGUUAGCAGGAAGAUUAUAACUUUCAAUUCCUAUAACACUAACUCUAUAGGCUUUAUCAUCAAGUAAUGAUAUAUUUCCUAUGUUAUCUAUAUUAAAUAAUUGGACAAUUGCGUAACAAGCAAUUUGAAAAGAAUAUGCGAAUUUAUAAAGCACGAAAGAAUCUGAGGUAUUGAAAUCAAAUAAGAUGUGAGUAGAUCUAGAGUUUACGAGAAAAUUACUAGCCACAACGUUCGAGUUUUAACUUACUUCCUUUGUGGUAAUCUAAAAUGUACGAUAUUUAACUUUUAGUUUGCCAAACGAUUGUCAAACUCUUCAAACUUAUUAAUUACUAGCGGUGCUCAAACCUGUACCCGCUCAUCAUUCUCUAUUGGGCUUUUGAUCCUAAUCAUUGAGUUAAAACUCAAUUCUCAUUGUAGACUCCUGCUCCUUCUUGGUUUAUAGACUAAACCCACGAUAAGAUCUUUACUUUUGCUAUAGCAACAACUCCAAUGGUCAUAUUCUAAUGACCUUUGAUUUUAUCUCGCACAAGACACAUAACGAUCCAAACUCUUGUAUUAGAAUCAGAUCGAAUAAAUCGAGCUGAUAGAAUAGCAAAAACAAAAGAGUUUGAUCAACACGUAGAUGCUUUGGAACAGAAAGAAUAGCACCACGUAUCUCUAAUUCGUGCUUUCGGACCUACAUAUCUUUUAGCUUUUGGCACCUCCUCCUUUUUAUUUGGAGUACUCUUUAAUUGUUGAACGGAAAGUUGACUCCCUGCCAUUUGACUAGUAAGAGUAGGGCAGAAACAUUUCUUGUGGCCAGUAACACCACAUAGCAAGUCACAUCUGAUUGCUANUAUCGACUACCUUGACCAUUUACUUCUUCAGUAUUCCUACUGAAGUUUCGUCACUAUAUGAGACAUGGUUCUCUGAACCAAUCAACUCCUUUCGCGGAUUUAUACUAAUCGGACUCGAUUCUUUAUGACAUUAAGAUUUGAACGAUAAUUAUCUUCUUAGUCAUUACCGAAAUGAAGGUAACGACACACAUGAAUAAAACGAAAUCAUUUACUAGCUUCUUGGUAACCUUGUGACUUUUUCCUGAUCCAAGUGUGAGUCCUGUGCUUCCAGUAGUAUAGGCCUCUACUACUAUUCACACCUACUCAUACUCGUCCCAAGUAUUGUCUCGCAGUUCCCAAGUCACCAUUCAAAAGUUUUCACAAAGAAACUUAUCACACAUGAAUGUGUUCAAACAAAUACAUACAACAGUUUCUCCUAGACUCAACUAGGGUUUUCACGUUUCUAUCAAACAUAUAUUGGAUUACCUAUACUCGCCUUCUAGGAUUCUUCUCAUGCAUAUGCUCGCUUUAAUAUAUCCUAAUACUUUUCCAUAGGUCGAUAGAAAUUUUACUUCCAUUUCUUCAUAUAAAUUCUUUCUCGAGUAGUGUCUACUCUACAAGACACACUAUUCCAAAAUUUACUCUAGCAGCAUGGAGACAAACGGUCUUCUACUACCUGCAUCACCUUCUAACUCAUGAAAACCAUCAUGCACAUUUGUUCAUUUCAUUAUUCUUCCUUGAAAUCGUUAUUCUUGUAUCUGAGUAAGUCUAAGUCUGCUUCUUAGGAGUCUAUCCUAAAAAGUCUACAUCAUAGCUGCAUCUUAGGAAGCUCUACUAGCUUCAACUUGGUUCUCUGUCAUUCCUGACUACAACAUCUCUUCUCAUACGAUACUAUGGUUGUAUUUCUUCUUUAAAUAAGCAUUUUACCUUACUUAAACAAGUAAGUUGCUUAACCACUUACCACUAAAUGAUUCAAUUCACCAUCCCAAUCUUGUAUGUUAAAGUCGGCUUAACUCACAAUGGAACUUCUAUAAGGAAGGGAUAGAAGUCAAUCAGCACUUAGUAUUAUUAAAUACUAAGUCUGAACAUCUUGUAUAGGGUUACUACUCGAACUGCAUACUACAUUACAAUUUUUUUUUUUGACGAAGUCUUGGCCUAUUGAGUCUGAAAACUUCAUUAGUCCUUCCUUUAAUUCUUCUAAAUCUUGUACAACAUUGAUUGAGAUACUAUCGAAGUAUUGACCGCCAUCUUCGGUUCUUCUGACUCUCUAAACAAUCACCGCUUCAAUCUAAACAGCGGUGGAAACAACUUUGUGGAUUUGUACCAACACAUUUGUCUCGCCCAAACGUGUUUCAAACGCACAUCUUUCUUCCAAAGAUGUUAUUAUAUAUCAAAAAUACUUUAAAUGUAUAUUACCACUCUAUUGGUAUUAAUACACUUAUUACGAUAACAAUUCAUAUUUAUUAUUUUAUGAUAUCUCGCGAUCGUUUAUUUAUAAACUUAUCGAUGUAAACUAUCAUAAGUCUCUUUAUCACUUCGAAAAAUUCUAUUACGAAAAUUCUUAGAAUUCUGAACAUAAAAUUUUCUAAACCAAGGUCGGCAACAGACCUUAAGCUUUCUCAAAUAAUAGCAAUUAUAGAUAAGCACCUUAAGGCAUGCUAUAUUCAUUUAUCAUUUAGCACAUAUUAGAAUAUAAGGCAUAUCUCCUCUUAAUAUUCUAGUGCUUGACUCCAUUAGGUAUUCAACCUAAAAUAUACCAGAUACAUAUCGUAUCAUCUUCACUUAACAAUUAUUGUUUAAGCUUAGAAAUUCUCAAAACUCCUAGCUCACUUAAACUAAUUUUCAUAAAAUUCUGAAGUAACUUAAAAUCCUAGAAUAUUAGGGUUUAUCACUACCCAAUCCCCCACUUAAAUAUUUCCUAUGGUUUGUAUCCAUAUACUUAUUAUGAAUCGGCUCAUAUAUUGAGCUUCCAACAGUUUAAGUCUAAAUACCAAUCCGUGAUAUUUAGUUCACUUAAACCAUUGCUCUGAUACCAUGAUUGAAAGACCCCAACUUUCGUAUUUAUGAAAGACCCAAACUUUCAUACUAUUCCAACAUUACUCUUAAGUUACUUCCUCAAAACAUGCUACAUGCAUAUUUAUAAAACAAUAUUUUAUAUUGAUAAAGUGAUUACAAAGGAUUGGAUACAAACCGACUAAGUUUUAUUACAUUUCAUAUCUACCCAGGAAUCUACUAUUCAUAUACAUACAUGAACAUUAAAAUACAUAGAAAUAGUAUUAACUAUUCUAAAUCUUUCAGCAGUAUAAAACUAUAUUGGAUACUCAUCACCUGCAAUUGUUAAAUAUUGAGAGGGAUAAGCGAUAACGCUUAGUGAAUUCAAUAAAUAGAUACAGUAUAAUCUUAUGCCUUAUAUAUGCCAAUAUGACAGAAGCAAAAGGGAACAAGAAUAACAAUAGCAUAUGUGUAUCAUAUGUCAGGCUUUCAAUAUCAACUCAAGAUUUGAUUCAAUGAUUUACGAUCAAUGAGACAUAAUGAUUUCAAUAAUUGAUAUGCAUCAAUAAAGCUUUGGCCCAAAUGGCACAGAAGACAUAUAAUUUCUGAUUAACAUUUUGGUAGAUUUCAGGCUUAUAGCCCUGUCUAACCAUUUGCCAAUACCAUAGAAUAGAGUUCAUUCUCUUACGGAGUCAUGCUCUACAUGGUCAGAGGCUACAUACCAGUCCUAUCUAACCUUCUGCCAAUGCCAUAGAAUAGAAGUCAUUCUCUUACGAGACAUGUUCUACAUGGCCAGAGGCUACAUACCAGUACCACCGUGAAUCUAAGUCCUUUCACUGAUCACAUGGUCAAAGGUAUAACUUUGCUAUUAAAAAUAGCGAAUAAAAAUAACACGGGAAAAUAACUCAGAAUAAUAACACUGAAAAGCACAUAGCACAUAUAACACAUAACAUACAAUUGUUCCUAUAUAUUGAACUCACCUUAAAAUAAUCGGGGGUUAAAAUAGUAAUUUGAGCAGCAUAUCGGCUCCAAAUAUGGCUUUAUUUGUUGAAAACCGGGAGAAUUAGCUAAAAACCGGACUCUAAAAAGGUAGAGCUUCAAAACCGAAAAGAUAAAUUUUUCAGGCUUCACGGCACUUCGGGGCGUGUUUCGGGUGUUAAAAUUGACACCGGGGCUUC
rnacentral:lncRNA from 1 species